AUACGUAGGUGGCAAGCGUUAUCCGGAAUUAUUGGGCGUAAAGAGGGAGCAGGCGGCAGCAAGGGUCUGUGGUGAAAGCCUGAAGCUUAACUUCAGUAAGCCAUAGAAACCAGGCAGCUAGAGUGCAGGAGAGGAUCGUGGAAUUCCAUGUGUAGCGGUGAAAUGCGUAGAUAUAUGGAGGAACACCAGUGGCGAAGGCGACGAUCUGGCCUGCAACUGACGCUCAGUCCCGAAAGCGUGGGGAGCAAAUAGGAUUAGAUACCCUAGUAGUCCACGCCGUAAACGAUGAGUACUAAGUGUUGGAUGUCAAAGUUCAGUGCUGCAGUUAACGCAAUAAGUACUCCGCCUGAGUAGUACGUUCGCAAGAAUGAAACUCAAAGGAAUUGGCGGGG
rnacentral:rRNA from 1 species